rnacentral:lncRNA from 1 species
CGCCAUUCUCCUGCCUCAGCCUCUGGAGUAGCUGGGACUACAGCUACAACAUGGCGAUCAGCAAGACAGGAAGACAGCCCUCACCAGGAGCUGAAUCACUGGCGCUUUGAUCUUGCACUUCCAGAUCCUGGGCAAGACUCACCAGGGCAGACUUCUGUAGCUGCCUGGAAUUGUCUGAUCUGGAAUUAAUGCCCUGGAAUGCUGUGGUUGUUAACUCAGAAGGCACAAAGCUAAGAAUCUUCCUCUGGUCCUCUUUAAUCUGCCCCCACUCCUUGUUAUUUGUCUUAUUUUGAUUUUCAAGUAAGGAAUUUAUUUUCCCAGUUAACAUAACCAACCAGCCCAUGCCACAGUAUAUUAAACCAAGAAGUACAAAUCCAAGAAAGGUAACGUCUUUAUUGGGUUGCAAAACUUUGGGAAAUCAAUGUAGUACUUUUUAUUACAAUAAAAGCAUAUUUUUAUUAGA